UACGUAGGUGGCGAGCGUUGUCCGGAAUUACUGGGUGUAAAGGGUGUGUAGGCGGGCUGAGAAGUCAGAUGUCAAAACUAUGGGCUUAACCCAUAGGCGCAUUUGAAACUCUUAGUCUUGAGUGCGGGAGAGGUAAGCGGAAUUCCCAGUGUAGCGGUAAAAUGCGUAGAUAUUGGGAGGAACACCAGUGGCGAAGGCGGCUUACUGGACCGUAACUGACGCUGAGACACGAAAGCGUGGGUAGCAAACAGG
rnacentral:rRNA from 1 species